UACGAAGGCCCCGAGCGUUAUCCGGAUUUAUUGGGCGUAAAGAGUGCGCAGGAGGUUCUGCAAGUCUCGCGUUAAAGCCCACAGCCUAACUGUGGAAGCGCGUGGGAUACUGCAGAACUAGAGGAUGUUAGAGGUUACUAGAACUCACGGUGUAGGGGUGAAAUCCGUUGAUAUCGUGGGGAAUACCAAAGGCGAAGGCAUGUAACUGGAACAUUCCUGACUCUCAUGCACGAAAGCGUGGGGAGCAAAAAGG
rnacentral:rRNA from 1 species